rnacentral:rRNA from 1 species
AGUCUGGUAAUUGGAAUGAGUACAAUCUAAAUCCCUUAACGAGGAUCCAUUAGAGGGCAAGUCUGGUGCCAGCAGCCGCGGUAAUUCCAGCUCCAAUAGUGUAUAUUUAAGUUGCUGCAGUUAAAAAGCUCGUAGGUUGAUCUUGGGUCGUAAAGGUCGGUCCGCCUACUCGGUGUGCACCUGCCCUUCCGUCCCUUUUGUCGGCGGCGUGCUCCUAACCUUAAUUGGCUAGGUCACGGCUCCGGCGCUGUUACUUUGAAAAAAUUAGAGUGCUCAAAGCAAGCUUAUGCUCUGAAUACAUUAGCAUGGAAUAACGUGAUAGGAGUCUGGUCCUAUUGUGUUGGCCUUUGGGACUGGAGUAAUGAUUAAUAGGGACUGAUGGGGGCAUUCGUAUUUCAUUGUCAGAGGUGAAAAUCUUGGAUUUAUGAAAGACGGACCACUGUGAAAGCAUUUUCCAAGGAUGUUUUCAUUAAUCAAGAACAAAAGUUGGGGGCUCGAAGACGAUCAGAUACCGUCCUAGUCUCAACCAUAAACGAUGCCGACCAAGGAUCGGCAAAUGUUGCUCUAAGGACUCUGCCAGCACCUUUUGAGUAAUCAGAGUGUUUUGGUUCCUGGGGGAGUAUGGUCGCAAGGCUGAAACUUAAAGGAAUUGACGGAAGGGCACCACCAGGAGUGGAGCCUGCGGAUUAAUUUGACUCAACACGGGGAAACUUACCAAGUCCAGACAUAGUAAGGAUUGAUAGAUUGAGAGCUCUUUCUUGAUUCUAUGGGUGGUGGUGCAUGGCUGUUCUUAGUUGGUGGAGCAAUUUGUCUGGUUAAUUCCGAUAACGAACGAGACCUCAGCCUGCUAACUAGCUACAUGGAGGUUCCCCUUUGCGGCCAGCUUCUUAGAGGGACUAUGGCCGUUUAGGCCAUGGAAGUUUGAGGCAAUAACAGGUCUGUGAUGCCCUUAGAUGUUCUGGGCCGCACACGUGCUACACUGAUGCAGCAAACGAGCUUUUCUUCCUGGUUUGAGAGGAUCAGGAAAUCUUCUCAAAUUGCAUCGUGACGGGGAUAGACCAUUGCAAUUAUUGGUCUUCAACGAGGAAUUCCUAGUAAGCGCGUGUCAUCAAAUCGUGUUGACUACGUCCCUGCCCUUUGUACACAUCGCCUGUCGCUCCUACCGAUUGAAUGAUCCGGUGAGGUGUUCGGAUUGCAUCGACGAUGGUGGUUCGCCGCCAUCAACGUCGUGAGAAGUUCAUUGAACCUUAUCAUUUAGAGGAAGGAGAUGUCGUAACAAGGUUACCGUAGGUGAACUUGCGGUAG